GUCAUUCGCUCCCCGGCCUGAGGCCGGAGCGCAUCUCUCAGUUGAGGGACGCGCUCAUGUUUGACCAGCCCAAGUCAUCACCAUAGGAGGUGCAUCCGAUGACUACGUUCAGUUCACGUGAGAAGACCCACCGCGCCGUGCUUCCUCAGCGGCGCGCUCUGGAAUCCGCAGGCGCAGACAACCCUGGGAGCAGGGACGAAACGGCUUGUGGACUCCCGACCGCCGUGUCGGGCACGGGUUCUGAACAUGGGCGAGGGGAGAUCCUGCCGGAGGGCA
rnacentral:sRNA from 1 species